GGCAUUGCUUACAGGGGUCACAGACAUUCAGAUCAUGGCAGAACUGUCACAGAUGUUACUUUGUGAAGACACAAAGAACAACGUGAUUGGAGAGAUCAGUCUUCAUUUAGCUAUAUUUUCUCGGAGCCUACCUUUACUUAGCCUCACAACAUGGGCCUUAGCUUUAGCACUUAAUCUGCACAAAUACCUCGCUUAAGUGUUAUAACUGACUGGCUAUUCAACCAAACCAUACAAAUGACCAAUUCGGUAAGAAAGCAUGAACUUCAGUGUUGAACCAAAUCAACUAACCUCCUCAAUCCAAAUGAACAAUGCUAUUCUAGGAGUCUGUGCUAGAAUAAAAUCCUAAUGCAAAGGCUGUCUUAAAAUGCUGAACCCAGAAGAAUUUGGCAUAAAUAAGACAUGGAGUUAGCUGACAUGAGAUAUUACAUUUAUUCCAUUGUUGACGAGGACAAAACUGGGCUGCUAUUGUCACAGGCUUGCAGAGCUCAAACCAUUACACCAUUCAGAAGCUGGCUUUGGUAUUACUUCAAGUUAUUCAAAACAGUCACCACUUGCUGAGCCUCUAAUGUCUCAUCUGUUGAAUGGAUUUCAAGAGAGAAGGCUGAAAAGGAAGGUGACUGGAAUAUUAAGAACUGUGAGAUAUUCUGAGGAAACUCUAAUUUGUAAAUUGGUAGAAAUGCCAGUAAUUUGUUGGGAAUUGAAGACCCUCUGUAUUCAAGAGCGAAGCUUGGCAGCUGUGCACUGUUGUUUUAUAAAUCAAUAUUA
rnacentral:lncRNA from 1 species